CCUACGGGUGGCUGCAGUGGGGAAUUUUCCGCAAUGGGCGAAAGCCUGACGGAGCAAUACCGCGUGAGGGAGGAAGGCUUUUGGGUUGUAAACCUCUUUUAUUGGGGAAGAAGGUCUGACGGUACCCAAUGAAUCAGCAUCGGCUAACUCCGUGCCAGCAGCCGCGGUAAUACGGAGGAUGCAAGCGUUAUCCGGAAUUAUUGGGCGUAAAGGGUCUGCAGGUGGUUGGUCAAGUCUGCUGUUAAAGCAUGGAGCUUAACUCCAUAUAGGCAGUG
rnacentral:rRNA from 1 species